GUGCCAGCCGCCGCGGUAAUACGUAGGGGGCGAGCGUUGUUCGGAUUUACUGGGCGUAAAGAGCGCGUAGGCGGUUCGAUAAGUCGGAGGUGAAAUCCCUCGGCUUAACCGAGGACCCGCGUCCGAUACUGUCGAACUUGAGUGCAGGAGAGGAGAGCGGAAUUCCCAGUGUAGCGGUGAAAUGCGUAGAUAUUGGGAGGAACACCGGUGGCGAAGGCGGCUCUCUGGACUGUCACUGACGCUGAGGUGCGAAAGCUAGGGGAGCAAACGGGAUUAGAAACCCCCGUAGUCC
rnacentral:rRNA from 1 species